UGCUGUACACUAUUCCACCUUUCAAUAAGCUUAACCUCUCAGGAUUAUGGCCAACUGUUCGAUCAUCAACUGCCUUAUCAAUAGUUGCAUACAAAGACCCAUCAAGACCACACUUGCUAAGUUGCUCUUGUCGGCACUCUCCAUAAUGCUCCAUAUUGUGUAUAGUCAAUAUGACUCGAGGCUUCUUAAGUGAAAGAUUCUGAUACAUAUCCCAGUAAAGCAGAGGCAAAGCACCAGUCUGCCACUCAUGGACAUGAAUAAUGUCAGGGNNNNNNNNNNNNAUUCAAGACAAGCACGGCUAAAAAACAAAUAAGCCUCCAACUCGUUGUAUGAACCACCAUACACAUGUUGCCCCUUGAAGAAUUCAUUUGAUGGCUCAAUAAAUAUCACCGGAAUCCCUGAAACUACUCCUCGAUAUGCAUUAGUUGGGAUCCAGUUCCCAUCGUGAUAUGAAUUAUAUGUAGUGAUUAAUGCCAAGUCAUUAAUUUGCUGCUUUUGAAUGCACUCGUAGAAAGGAAGCAUUAUAUCCACGGUAUGCCCUCGCAACAGGCAAGCACGGGCAAGUCCAGUCACAACAUCACCAAGGCCACCAACUUUGGCUAUGGGUGCCAUCUCAGCUGUAACGUGAACUACGUGCAAGAGAUCGGAAUCUUUGACAAUGUCAGUUGGAACUUCAGGGCUUGCAUCCCAUGAAGGGAAAUCCCUCUUCCAGAAUGGGAUUUCAUCAUCAGGAGAAGGCCAACCAAGUUCAUGCAAGCCCUGAAGUUCUUUCGAAACAAAACCAGCAGAACUUUUUUGUUUCAAGGCGCCCGCCUGUACAAGGAGAUGGGUCGAAGUAAGGAGUGACAGAAUGUUGAAUUCAGAGGAAAAGAGGUGGUGGGUAGGCAUUCCCUUCCUUUUCGGCAGCACUCCUUUCGUGGAAUGGAAGCAGCAUGGCUUACAAAACUUGCCCACUAAUGCACUCUCCAUUAUCAUCAUCGUUACCUGAUCUCUCUAUAGUUUAAAGCAAAAUCAGAAAUUUUUAAGCAGAACACGAUUGCAUUGCUUGAAUUAUUAUCCGUUAAACAAAAAGAAAAUUGGGAAAGACGGAAUUUUUUCGUUUUCUUCUGUUGCCCAGAAGCUAGCAAGCUGGUUCUCGCUAC
rnacentral:misc_RNA from 1 species